UCCCGUAUGAGUAAUGUUAAACAAAAUUCUUGAGUAGGGCGGGACACGAGAAAUCCUGUUUGAAUAUAGGGGGACCACCCUCUAAGCCUAAAUACUCUUCAGUGACCGAUAGUGAACUAGUACCGUGAGGGAAAGGUGAAAAGAACCCCUAUUAGGGGAGUGAAAUAGAACCUGAAACCGCAUGCCUACAAUCAGUCGAAGCUCUUUUUAGAGUGACGGCGUACCUUUUGUAUAAUGGGUCAGUGACUUAAUUUAUUAAGCAAGCUUAAGCCAUCUAGGUGUAGGCGCAGCGAAAGCAAGUCUUAAUAGGGCGAUUAGUUUAAUGAAUUAGACCCGAAAACGAAUGAGCUUACCAUGAGCAGGUUGAAAGCAAGGUAACACUUGCCGGAGGACCGAACCAGUUGACGUUGAAAAGUCUUUGGAUGACUUGUGGUAAGGGGUGAAAGGCCAACCAAAUUCGUAGAUAGCUGGUUUUCCGCGAAAACUAUUUAGGUAGUGCGUUGAAUAAAUAGAUGUUUAGAGGUAGAGCACUAAAUGGGCUAGGGGGAAGAGAUUCUUACCAAACCUAAUAAAACUCCCCGGAAUGCUAGACAUGUCUCAACAGACAGACUGUGGGUGCUAAGGUCCAUGGUCGAGAGGGAAAGAGCCCAGACCACCAGAUAAGGUCCCAAAAUUAUGAUUAAGUGUGAAAGGAUGUGGAAAUUCCUUAACAGCCGGGAGGUUGGCUUAGAAGCAGCCAUCCUUUAAAGAUAGCGUAACAGCUCACCGGUCUAAUAGAGUUUCUGCGCCGAAGAUGUAACGGGGCUAAAAUCAUAUACCGAAUCUGUGGGUUUAUAAAACUUUCGAGUUUUAUAAGCGGUAGCGGAACGUUCUGUAAGCCUGUGAAGGAGUACCCGUGAGGGACUCUGGAGGUAUCAGAAGUGCGAAUGCUGACAUAAGUAACGAUAAAAGAAGUGAAAAACUUCUUCGCCGAAAAUCCAAGGGUUUCUGCGCAAGGUUAAUCCGCGCAGAGUUAGUCGGCACCUAAGGCGAGGGCGAAAGCCGUAGUCGAUGGAAAUAAGGUUAAUAUUCCUUAACCAGAUGGUAGUGACGGAUCUUGUAAGUUGUGAGUUCUUAAUGGAUUGAACUUGCCGCGAAAAGGUUCCAAGAAAUAGCUCCAUCAUUAGACCGUACCCUAAACCGACACAGGUGGAUUAAUAGAGUAUAUUUAGGCGCUUGAGAGAAUGAUGUUGAAGGAACUCGGCAAAAUGCUUCCGUAACUUCGGGAUAAGGAAGACCCUCCUGUAGGCAACUAUGGAAGGGUGGCACAAGCCAGGGAGAAGCGACUGUUUAUCAAAAACACAGGGCUCUGCUAACACGUAAGUGGAUGUAUAGGGUCUGACGCCUGCCCGGUGCUGGAAGGUUAAUGCGGUUGGUGCAAGCUAACUUCUGAAGCCCCAGUAAACGGCGGCCGUAACUAUAACGGUCCUAAGGUAGCGAAAUUCCUUGUCGGGUAAGUUCCGACCUGCAUGAAUGGCGUAACGAUUUCUCCGCUGUCUCCAACAUCAACUCAGUGAAAUUGAAUUCUCCGUGAAGAUGCGGAGUUCGCGUAGUUAGACGGAAAGACCCCGUGCACCU
rnacentral:rRNA from 1 species